CCCCCACCUCUCAUCCCCUUUGGGGCAGAAACUGCCAGAACUGGGGAGAAUGGAUUCACCCCACCCUCCACACCCAACUGCCCAGCCUCGCUCUGAGCAGAGAGGAGUCCCAGGACCAUGGGCAGUGAGUGACCUGGGAAGUACAUUCAACCUUUUAUACCUCCCACUUACCCUUUGCCUGGUUAAAAUCUAUCUCUUCCUACUUUGAUCCCCAUGGUUCCUGUUGCUAACACUUGGUAACACUUUUUUUUUUUUUUAAUCUGACACCUAAUAAAUCCGAGGGCUGACAGGUAAUGUAUCUUCAUCUCCCUGGGUACCCUGCCCUAAAGGAAUGAAUGACUCUGGGAAAGAAUGAACCCAGCCCUCCAACACUCGCAUCUCAUUUUUUCCUCGCUCUAACCGAAGAGUAUGACCUCACCUCCCCUGAGGGAAAACGACCAGCCAGUCCACAGUUUGUCCUCCGGAGGAAUUCCAGGUUGGCAAGGGAAAUUCUUGAACACAGGGAUCCUUGUGGCCAUGGGACCUGAGCCCAUUUUCCCUCCAUGCGCCUCCUGUUUGGGCGUCAUUUCAGGACCAGCUUCCUCACCAAACAGCAUGUUAGCCAGUGAGACGAGGGGAGCAUCUUUUCUAAGCCCUUAGAACUCUCUUAGAAGGCAAGGGCUGCCUUCCCAGUGCCACUGGUCACAGCCACCCUUCUUCUUGGGGACCAUAGUGGAAUCAGAGCACAUCCCCCAAAAACACUGACCUGGGACCACCGAUCCACCACUACCCAGAGCUUCUUGACCACUCCCCAGCCUGGUGUUAUCAGCAUCCUAAAAGGCCACCAAGACAGCUGCCAAAGGAACCCCUCAUUUUGCGAAGAGGGUCACCUGUCACAGCCAGAGGUCAGAAACAGAAUGUCUAAGGGCCAGGCCAACCAUCUGCAAGGUCUUAAUUGCAGCACGUGGGAUCUUUAGUUGCAACGUGUGGGCUCUAGUUCUCUGACCAGGUAUUGAACCCAGGCCCCCUGCCUUGGGAGCAUACACUCUUAGCCACUGGACUAUCAGGUAAGUCUCCACACCUGAAAUUUUUUUUAGUAAAUACCCCCCACAAAAGAGAGAGAGUUCUGUUAAGAAAGAAACCACUUCAUUUAAGAAACCAGAAGAUCUGGCACCGCUAACCGCAUCCCCUCGUGGCCCCAAUCAGCGGAUGCAGGGCAGCAGUUCCAGGAUGGGGGAAGGGGCCCCUGCCCUUCACGUGGUCCUUCACCCUCAUCUGAGUGUGUGACCCCGCCCCUUCCUGCAACGAAGCUACUGAUUUUCUGCAGGGAGUAAACAGAGUCCCCACGAGCUGCCAUCUUCAGAUGAGUGUAAGGUGAGAUCAGAAGCCAAGAUCUGAGAACACAGCCGGGAGAAAAACAGGGAGAGGCCAGGAGGUGGUGAUCAGAGAAACAGACACAAGGACAAGCGAGGACCAGUGUGUUGCUGAUCAUUCUGCCCGGAGCAGCAUCUCCUCCACCCUCCCAGCCUCUCCAUCCCUUUACCCUGCUCUAUUUUCCUCUGAUGCUGAAGCUGAAGCUCCAAUACUUUGGCCACCUAAUCCAAAGAACUGACUCAUUGGAAAAGAUCCUGAUGCUGGGAACGAUUGAAGGCGGGAGGAGAAGGGGACAACAGAGGAUGAGAUGGUUGGAUGGCAUCACCGACUCGAUGGGCAUGAGUUUGAGCAAACUCCAGGAGUUGGUGAUGGACAGGGAGGCCUGGCAUGCUGCCAUCCAUGGGGUCACAAAGAGUCGGACACAACUGAGUGAUUGAACUGAACUGAACAGAUUUUCCUCCCUAGCUCUCACUACUACCUGACUGGAUAUUCGUUUCCUAAGGCUGUCGUAACAUGCACCCACAAGUUGGCUGGCUUAAAGGGCACAGGUUUUUAUGCUCUCACAAUUCUGGUGGCCAAAAGUCCUAAAUCAAGAUGUUGGCAGGGCUGCACUCCUUCCAAAGUCUCUAGGGGAGAAUCCUUCCUGCCUCUUCCAGCUUCUGGUGGGUCCAGGUAUGUUCCCUGACUUGCAGCAGCAUCACUCCUGUCUCUGCCUCUAUGUUCACAUUGCUUCCUUCCACCUGUUUCUUCUUCUCCAAACUCCUUUCCCUAAUGAAGACAUUGGUCAUUGGAUUUAGCUUGCGUGCCUGUGUGCUCAGUCAUGUCCAACUCUUUGCGACCCCAGGCACUGUAGCUCAUCAGGCUCCCCUGUCCAUGGAUUUCCCUAGAGCAGGUUGCCAUUUCCUCCUCCAGGGGAACUUCCUGACCCAGGGAUCAAACCCGUGUCUCUUGCGUCUCCUGCACUGGCAGGCAGGUUGUUACCUCUGUGCCACCUAGG
ensembl:lncRNA